AAUUUUAUCCCUAACCUAUAUACCCAAAAAAACCUUAAUUUUUUCCCCUAAAAAUUUUCCCACAAACCCUAAAAUUUCGCCAAAUCAAAAUCCCAACCCAUCUCUACAUCAUCGACCCGACCAUCUACUACAUGGCCGUCGACUCGAGCAUCUACUGCGUCGCCGUCGUAGUCCUCUGCUGUAACCAAUCGAAAUUAUAGGCUCGACUUCCUGAAGCACGGGUUAUUUAUUACUCUGCAACUGGGGCAUCUGAACCACACAAUAUGGGUUAUAUGAUUAGGCUUGGUCUUUGGGGAGGAGCUGGGUUUCCCCGAUUUCCAGAGUUUUUUAGUUGCUUUAGACAAAGGAGGUGUUGGGGCAUUGGAACUUGUUCCAAUGGACAUGAAAGCAAGGGGAAUGUAUGUAUGUCGUACCCUGAGUUAUAAGGGAGCAGAGUUUGAGGUUAUUGAAGCACCGUUAGAAGUUGAAAUGGAGAAGGCACAUAAUGACUAGCUCCUACCUCUACGAAUGCUUGUGGGAGGCAUUGCAGCAGCGAAUAAGGAUGAUAUUGAUCAACAUGCAAUUGACACCGUAUGUGCUCUGAAUCCGAGUUCAGGUGUGACUUUUAGAUAUUUUAUGUGCAAAACAGUAUUAGAAUGCCUUAUGUUUGUAUGUUAGUUGAGCAGAUUAUAGAUAGAACCUACAGUAGGAUCAACUAAUUAGUUGAUCAAAAACUACACCCUGUUUUGUAAUCAUCUGCUUGCAUAUUUGCAUAUACUUAAUAAUAAUCUUGUGUCAAAUAA